rnacentral:misc_RNA from 1 species
AAGUCGUAACAAGCAUUAACACGUAUCCACGUUUAUCACCCGUGAACUUUCUUAGGACAGCUGUUUUCAAGUGAUUGAAAGGUGCUUCCUAAGUAAACUCUUUCUUUUCAGUUUCACUUCGGUAACUCAGGAAAGAUUAGAGAGUACUAACUUUAGUCUUUCGGGAGGAGUCUCUGAAGUUAUGUAAAGCCCUUUUUUUCAACUAAAAGCCGUCUCUUUGUGGACCCCCUUUAACCGAAUGCUGUACAACUCUUAGCAACGGAUAUCUUGGUUCUG